GUUAAAUUGUCAGCGGAUCAGUAUAGGAUUAUGGCACAUUGUAAAGGCCUGCGAGAACAUAAAAUCCCAUUAAGCAUAUGCUUCAUAUGGAUUUUCAUGAAGGCAGUAUAUUAUUUAUACAUACAUCAUUUUAUAAAGCAUUGCAAUGUGCAGUCUUGCAAAGGAAUAGGCAUUGUGAUCUACUUGUGGAAAGCCAUAGUUCCUUUUUUUUAACAGUGCAGAUGUAGAAGCAAUAAUUAUAAAAAAUGCCUAACAUUUAAUACAUUAAUGUGCCAUUAUCUUUGAUGAGGGAAAUAGGAGGAUGAAACUGCCCAUUUAAUAAUGGC